rnacentral:rRNA from 1 species
UACGGAAGGGGGCUAGCGUUGUUCGGAAUUACUGGGCGUAAAGGGCUCGUAGGGGGCCAACUAAGUCAGACGUGAAAUCCCUCGGCUUAACCGGGGAACUGCGUCUGAUACUGGAUGGCUUGAGUUCGGGAGAGGGAUGCGGAAUUCCAGGUGUAGCGGUGAAAUGCGUAGAUAUCUGGAGGAACACCGGUGGCGAAGGCGGCAUCCUGGACCGACACUGACGCUGAGGAGCGAAAGCCAGGGGAGCAAAGCGGG